rnacentral:rRNA from 1 species
UACAGAGGUGCCAAGCGUUAGGCGGAAUCACUGGGUUUAAAGCGCGCGUAGGCGGAUGUUUAAGUGUCUUGUGAAAUCCCACGGCUCAACCGUGGAACUGCUGGGCAUACUGGACAUCUCGAGGCACUCAGGGGCGAGCGGAACAAGUGGUGGAGCGGUGAAAUGCGUAGAUAUCACUUGGAACGCCAAUGGUGAAGACAGCUCGCUGGGGGUGUCCUGACGCUGAGGCGCGAAAGCUAGGGGAGCAAACGGG